rnacentral:piRNA from 1 species
UNCACGAGGCUUGGCUUCUCUUCAGUAGC